AGAACAUGGGUGAUAAGGUCCGUGUUCGAAAGGGAAACAGCCCAGACCACCAGCUAAGGUCCCAAAAUAUAUGUUAAGUGGAAAAGGAUGUGGCGUUGCCCAGACAACUAGGAUGUUGGCUUAGAAGCAGCCAUCAUUUAAAGAGUGCGUAAUAGCUCACUAGUCGAGUGACACUGCGCCGAAAAUGUACCGGGGCUAAACAUAUUACCGAAGCUGUGGAUUGUCCUUUGGACAAUGGUAGGAGAGCGUUCUAAGGGCGUUGAAGCAUGAUCGUAAGGACAUGUGGAGCGCUUAGAAGUGAGAAUGCCGGUGUGAGUAGCGAAAGACGGGUGAGAAUCCCGUCCACCGAUUGACUAAGGUUUCCAGAGGAAGGCUCGUCCGCUCUGGGUUAGUCGGGUCCUAAGCUGAGGCCGACAGGCGUAGGCGAUGGAUAACAGGUUGAUAUUCCUGUACCACCUAUAAUCGUUUUAAUCGAUGGGGGGACGCAGUAGGAUAGGCGAAGCGUGCGAUUGGAUUGCACGUCUAAGCAGUAAGGCUGAGUAUUAGGCAAAUCCGGUACUCAUUAAGGCUGAGCUGUGAUGGGGAGAAGACAUUGUGUCUUCGAGUCGUUGAUUUCACACUGCCGAGAAAAGCCUCUAGAUAGAAAAUAGGUGCCCGUACCGCAAACCGACACAGGUAGUCAAGAUGAGAAUUCUAAGGUGAGCGAGCGAACUCUCGUUAAGGAACUCGGCAAAAUGACCCCGUAACUUCGGGAGAAGGGGUGCUCUUUAGGGUUAACGCCCAGAAGAGCCGCAGUGAAUAGGCCCAAGCGACUGUUUAUCAAAAACACAGGUCUCUGCUAAACCGUAAGGUGAUGUAUAGGGGCUGACGCCUGCCCGGUGCUGG
rnacentral:rRNA from 1 species